GAUGAACGCUGGCGGCGUGCUUAACACAUGCAAGUCGAACGAAGCACUUUAUUUGAUUUCCUUCGGGACUGAUUAUUUUGUGACUGAGUGGCGGACGGGUGAGUAACGCGUGGGUAACCUGCCUUGUACAGGGGGAUAACAGUUGGAAACGGCUGCUAAUACCGCAUAAGCGCACGGCAUCGCAUGAUGCAGUGUGAAAAACUCCGGUGGUAUAAGAUGGACCCGCGUUGGAUUAGCUAGUUGGUGAGGUAACGGCCCACCAAGGCGACGAUCCAUAGCCGACCUGAGAGGGUGACCGGCCACAUUGGGACUGAGACACGGCCCAAACUCCUACGGGAGGCAGCAGUGGGGAAUAUUGCACAAUGGGCGAAAGCCUGAUGCAGCGACGCCGCGUGAGCGAAGAAGUAUUUCGGUAUGUAAAGCUCUAUCAGCAGGGAAGAUAAUGACGGUACCUGA
rnacentral:rRNA from 1 species